rnacentral:rRNA from 1 species
GGGUUGUGAGGUUAAGCGACUAAGCGUACACGGUGGAUGCCCUGGCAGUCAGAGGCGAUGAAGGACGUGCUAAUCUGCGAUAAGCGUCGGUAAGGUGAUAUGAACCGUUAUAACCGGCGAUUUCCGAAUGGGGAAACCCAGUGUGUUUCGACACACUAUCAUUAACUGAAUCCAUAGGUUAAUGAGGCGAACCGGGGGAACUGAAACAUCUAAGUACCCCGAGGAAAAGAAAUCAACCGAGAUUCCCCCAGUAGCGGCGAGCGAACGGGGAGCAGCCCAGAGCCUGAAUCAGUGUGUGUGUUAGUGGAAGCGUCUGGAAAGGCGCGCGAUACAGGGUGACAGCCCCGUACACAAAAAUGCACAUACUGUGAGCUCGAUGAGUAGGGCGGGACACGUGGUAUCCUGUCUGAAUAUGGGGGGACCAUCCUCCAAGGCUAAAUACUCCUGACUGACCGAUAGUGAACCAGUACCGUGAGGGAAAGGCGAAAAGAACCCCGGCGAGGGGAGUGAAAAAGAACCUGAAACCGUGUACGUACAAGCAGUGGGAGCACGCUUCGGCGUGUGACUGCGUACCUUUUGUAUAAUGGGUCAGCGACUUAUAUUCUGUAGCAAGGUUAACCGAAUAGGGGAGCCGAAGGGAAACCGAGUCUUAACUGGGCGUUAAGUUGCAGGGUAUAGACCCGAAACCCGGUGAUCUAGCCAUGGGCAGGUUGAAGGUUGGGUAACACUAACUGGAGGACCGAACCGACUAAUGUUGAAAAAUUAGCGGAUGACUUGUGGCUGGGGGUGAAAGGCCAAUCAAACCGGGAGAUAGCUGGUUCUCCCCGAAAGCUAUUUAGGUAGCGCCUCGUGAAUUCAUCUCCGGGGGUAGAGCACUGUUUCGGCAAGGGGGUCAUCCCGACUUACCAACCCGAUGCAAACUGCGAAUACCGGAGAAUGUUAUCACGGGAGACACACGGCGGGUGCUAACGUCCGUCGUGAAGAGGGAAACAACCCAGACCGCCAGCUAAGGUCCCAAAGUCAUGGUUAAGUGGGAAACGAUGUGGGAAGGCCCAGACAGCCAGGAUGUUGGCUUAGAAGCAGCCAUCAUUUAAAGAAAGCGUAAUAGCUCACUGGUCGAGUCGGCCUGCGCGGAAGAUGUAACGGGGCUAAACCAUGCACCGAAGCUGCGGCAGCGACACUAUGUGUUGUUGGGUAGGGGAGCGUUCUGUAAGCCUGUGAAGGUGUGCUGUGAGGCAUGCUGGAGGUAUCAGAAGUGCGAAUGCUGACAUAAGUAACGAUAAAGCGGGUGAAAAGCCCGCUCGCCGGAAGACCAAGGGUUCCUGUCCAACGUUAAUCGGGGCAGGGUGAGUCGACCCCUAAGGCGAGGCCGAAAGGCGUAGUCGAUGGGAAACAGGUUAAUAUUCCUGUACUUGGUGUUACUGCGAAGGGGGGACGGAGAAGGCUAUGUUGGCCGGGCGACGGUUGUCCCGGUUUAAGCGUGUAGGCUGGUUUUCCAGGCAAAUCCGGAAAAUCAAGGCUGAGGCGUGAUGACGAGGCACUACGGUGCUGAAGCAACAAAUGCCCUGCUUCCAGGAAAAGCCUCUAAGCAUCAGGUAACAUUAAAUCGUACCCCAAACCGACACAGGUGGUCAGGUAGAGAAUACCAAGGCGCUUGAGAGAACUCGGGUGAAGGAACUAGGCAAAAUGGUGCCGUAACUUCGGGAGAAGGCACGCUGAUAUGUAGGUGAAGUCCCUCGCGGAUGGAGCUGAAAUCAGUCGAAGAUACCAGCUGGCUGCAACUGUUUAUUAAAAACACAGCACUGUGCAAACACGAAAGUGGACGUAUACGGUGUGACGCCUGCCCGGUGCCGGAAGGUUAAUUGAUGGGGUUAGCGGUAACGCGAAGCUCUUGAUCGAAGCCCCGGUAAACGGCGGCCGUAACUAUAACGGUCCUAAGGUAGCGAAAUUCCUUGUCGGGUAAGUUCCGACCUGCACGAAUGGCGUAAUGAUGGCCAGGCUGUCUCCACCCGAGACUCAGUGAAAUUGAACUCGCUGUGAAGAUGCAGUGUACCCGCGGCAAGACGGAAAGACCCCGUGAACCUUUACUAUAGCUUGACACUGAACAUUGAGCCUUGAUGUGUAGGAUAGGUGGGAGGCUUUGAAGUGUGGACGCCAGUCUGCAUGGAGCCGACCUUGAAAUACCACCCUUUAAUGUUUGAUGUUCUAACGUUGACCCGUAAUCCGGGUUGCGGACAGUGUCUGGUGGGUAGUUUGACUGGGGCGGUCUCCUCCUAAAGAGUAACGGAGGAGCACGAAGGUUGGCUAAUCCUGGUCGGACAUCAGGAGGUUAGUGCAAUGGCAUAAGCCAGCUUGACUGCGAGCGUGACGGCGCGAGCAGGUGCGAAAGCAGGUCAUAGUGAUCCGGUGGUUCUGAAUGGAAGGGCCAUCGCUCAACGGAUAAAAGGUACUCCGGGGAUAACAGGCUGAUACCGCCCAAGAGUUCAUAUCGACGGCGGUGUUUGGCACCUCGAUGUCGGCUCAUCACAUCCUGGGGCUGAAGUAGGUCCCAAGGGUAUGGCUGUUCGCCAUUUAAAGUGGUACGCGAGCUGGGUUUAGAACGUCGUGAGACAGUUCGGUCCCUAUCUGCCGUGGGCGCUGGAGAACUGAGGGGGGCUGCUCCUAGUACGAGAGGACCGGAGUGGACGCAUCACUGGUGUUCGGGUUGUCAUGCCAAUGGCACUGCCCGGUAGCUAAAUGCGGAAGAGAUAAGUGCUGAAAGCAUCUAAGCACGAAACUUGCCCCGAGAUGAGUUCUCCCUGACUCCUUGAGAGUCCUGAAGGAACGUUGAAGACGACGACGUUGAUAGGCCGGGUGUGUAAGCGCAGCGAUGCGUUGAGCUAACCGGUACUAAUGAACCGUGAGGCUUAACCUUACAACGCCGAAGCUGUU